rnacentral:misc_RNA from 1 species
AACGCACAUUGCGCCCGCCAGUAUUCUGGCGGGCAUGCCUGUCUGAGCGUCAUUUCAACCCUCGCGCCCGGCUUCUGCCGGGGGCGGUGUUGGGGAUCGGCCGCCCGUCACUGGGAGGCCGGCCCCUAAAUGGAGUGGCGACCACGCCGUAGCCUCCUCUGCGUAGUAGUAAUACCACCUCGCAGGCGGAGAGCGGUGCGGUCCGCCGUAAAACCCCCCAACUCUUUCCAAGGUUGACCUCAGAUCAGGUAGGAAUACCCGCUGAACUUAA